ensembl:lncRNA
ACAGCCUCCUUCCACCGAGUCUUCCAGAGACUUCCACUGCACCUGGGUACUGAGCCCUGUCUCCACACCUCACCCCUCCUCUCCCUGACUUGUGGGUUCCCCUCAUUAGGAGAGGGUCUUCUUGAAAUUACCUCCCACUCAUGGGCCAUAUAAAAUGAUUAGAAAACAAGCCAGAGCUCCAGCCCCAUGUCUGUCCUGACCCCCAGGACCCACCCCUGUUCCUUGCACCCGGCAGGCACAUCAAGGCCCCUUUCUGCAACUGUGAGCCCCAAUGGGGCAGGGUUGGCUGACCUGAGCCCCGGCCAGCCCUUCCAGGUGAGCCUGAGCGGGUGUCAGAGCGCCUGCAGGUAGACUCGACGCAUACUCUGCGGGCCGUGCGGGCUGGGCUGGCGAGACGGCCUUGCGGUUGCUGUUUGUGAUCAGGUCUUCUCUAGACCAGGUAAGGAAGCGGUGGAAGAGGCGGUGGAGCAGGACUGGAGAGGCAACUCAGGGAGGGGACGGGAAGCUUCCCGAAGAGCCCCGGGGCAGGACCACCUCGGCAAGCACGCUGUCGCUGGGGCGGCCCCAUCCCUUCCCUCCAGCCUGUGAGGUCUUUGCUCAUAUCCGGGUGUUUUACCUGGGAAUGGUGGAUGAGGUUCAGGAGCAGCUAGCCUGGGGCUCGGCCAAGGUUUACUUAGAGAGGCCUCCGUUGGGUCCCCAAACUUCCCACUGAGGAUGCUCCUUGGGGAGUAGGGUAGAGGAGGAGGUGGGGUAAGGGGGUGGGGACGGUGAAGGGCUGCUGGCUGCACGUGAGUCCCCACCCCUGACCAUCUUCACAAUUGAUCAUCAGUGUGGCGAGUAUCCUAACUGGGUUUCACCUGUGUAACUGGUGAAAUCAGCAGUGUCCUCAGUCAGGACUGAGAUGUUACCCCACUUGUUCUGGUGUAAGAACCUGGGGAGGCGUGUGCAGCCCUAGGGACAGGCUUCAGACGUGACCCCUCAACAUUCUGGGGUCCAGCCACUGCUUUAGCAUUUCUGAGGGCCCAGUGCUGACUCUGAGGGCUCUGUAACACACCCUCCAUCUGCCUUUACUGAGACCCCUGCUUCUAGGAUCCUACAGAGCAGGGUCUGUGUGGCUGCUCUGUGGCCUAACAAAUGAUCACAAGCUGGGUGGCUUAAAACAACAGGAGAGACUCAAGCCUGUCGCACACAGCGGCCCUGGCUCCUGGGAGCAGCGUUCUGCUCCGCUUGGAAAGAAACAAAGGACUUGGGAGAAGCAGCACGCAGGAAUCGUUCUGUUAAACCCUCCCCGACAACUGGACGCUCCGGCGGGGACGUGUUCAUGCUCAUCUAGUAGUUAGCUUCUUCCACUCAGUGAGGCUUCUGGUGUCUGUGAAACUCCCAAGGUAUGCAUCAGAUGCUGUUACCUCCAAAAUUCAGAGAGGAGCUGCCGCAGAGGAUACAGGACGGGGUCUGUCCUGGGAGGGCCCACAGGCUCCUGCUCGGUCACACCUGGUGUCUGAGCUCAGCAGCUGGAGAAGGAAGGUGGGGCUGCCUCCUGGGCAUGGGGAGCAGCAGGAUCACAGUCCUCGAGGGGCCUGUUAGUCCCCAGGGUGAGAUGAGUGGCAGUGGAUGGACAGACGCAUCUGGGCUGGGAGAGGGGACCAGGUAGGAAAUGUCACUGGAAUUGUCACCGGGAGGAAGAGGAAAGGCGGGAGGGGGCAGGUGGCUCACAGUCGACCCCAUGCAGGUGAUGGCAGUCUUCUGGAAACAACUCAGAGCUGGGAGGACGCUGUCAGGAGGUCAGCUUCAUUCUCCUGUUCCUUUGUAAAACAUGGUGUCAGAGUUUGAGACACCCUCAGGAGACUUCUGAGCCCAUUGCUGCUGUGGCUUCAUCAAAGGGGCUCAGGCCUUGCCCACGUCCCCACUGGGGAUGAAGCCCAUGAGCACUGGGGCCCACAGACUUCAGGAAACACUUAACCUCAGGGCUGGUCUCCCUUCUUCCAACCAGCUGCUGGUCAGAGGCCACAUUCUCCCAUCCUGACUCCACCCCCGGAGCCCAGGAGUACUCCAGUGUAUAGAUGGCCUAGGCAGGCUUCAUGUUCCUGUCGCUGGACGUUUUGGAGGACUCUGUCUUGGCUGUUGUAGAUAGUGCUUCUCUGAAAACAGGGGUGCACGUAUCAUUUCAAGUUUUGAUGUUCUCCAGAUCUGAGCCCAGAAGUGGGGGUGCUGGGUCCCAUGGCUCAUCUGCUUCCUUUCCUCAGGACCCUCCACGCUGUUUUCCGUCGCAGCUGCACCCUUGUGCACCCCCACUCAGAGUGUGGGAGGAUUCCAUUUUCCCUACGCCCUCUGCAGCAUUUAUUCUUUGGAGCUCUUUCUCAUGAUGGCCGUUCUGACUGGUGGGAGGGGAUUCAUCAGUGUAGAUUUGAUCAGCGUUGAUUUAACAAUGAGUGGGUCUUCCCUGGUGUGGCUCAGCAGCAAAGAAUCUGCCUGCAGUGGAGGAGAUGCGAGAGAUUCAGAAUUGAUCCCUGAGUCGGGAAGAUGCCCUGGAGAAGGAAAGGGCAACCCAACCAGUAUUCUUUCCUGGAAAAUUCCAUGGACAGCAGAGACUGGCAGGCUACAGCCCACGGGGUUGCAAAAAGUCGGACACAACUGAGCAACUGAGCACAGGAAUGAGUGAGGGGGGGUGUCUUUCCAGGGGCUUGAUUCGUGUAUAGCCAGACAUAGAUAUGUUCUUUUUCAGGUUCUCUUCCCAUGUAAGUUAUUACGGAGUGUUGAGGAGGGUUCCUUGUGCUAUGCAGUGGGUCCUUGUGGAUGAUUUUAUGAAGAGUAGUGUGUGUGUGUUAAUCUGAACCAGCUCAUUUCUCCCUGCCCUCCUCUUUUCCUCCUGGGGAACCAUAAGCCUCUUCUUGGGAACCAUAAGUCUGUGAGGCUGUUUCUCUUUGGUAAAGAAGUCCGUGUGUCUCCAUCUUUAGAUUCCACCUAGAAGUGAUGCCAUUUGAUUCUUGUCUGGCUCUGUCUCUCCUGCUUCACUUAGAAUGGUCACCUCUACUUUCCUCCCUGUGGCUGGAAAUAUUGUUACUUGACCCUUUUAACGGCUGAAGAAUGCUGUAUCAUGUCUAGGGGCCCACCUUCUUUCCCCAUUGAUCUGUGUUCUGCUCUUCGAUGGCUGCCGUGUCCUGUUCACAGUCCUAGUGCAGCUGUGACCAGAGGGCUGCAGGCGACUUUUCAAACUUUGGUUUUCUCUGUAUCUACACCCAG